ensembl:lncRNA
AAGUAGAAGUAAAAUCACACAUGUUUGAAAGAGCUGUAACUCAUUAGUGGGUUCAUGUUUUUGUUCCUCUAGGUUUGCAAAGGACUUGAUAUCCAUCUCCUGACAGACAAAAAGGAAUUUUCCACUGCUGCUGGAGCAGUGGGAGAGCAGAUGGCUGAGCUCUGGGAAAGGCAGUGACUCCUUGGUGCAGCACAGGAGAAGGUAGAGUGAGACAGUGUCCCCAGAGCCAGGGUGCCCUCGGGGUGACACACACGGGAGGGCAGCUUCACCAGCACCUGGCAAAGAGUUGCAAUCCCAUUAGGAAUGCCACUAAGAUGAAGAUCUCCAAUUCCAUGAUCAGCAGAGCUCUCCUCAGAAGGGCUUUCAUCUCUUACCCAUAUAAUAAAGGAGAGUAUCCAGCUGCAUAAAAAGAUAAGGCAAUAUAGA